CUGGUCUUGACAUCCUGGGAACCCCGAAGAGAUUUGGGGGUGCCGCAAGGAGCCCAGAGACAGGUGCUGCAUGGCUGUCGUCAGCUCGUGUCGUGAGAUGUUGGGUUAAGUCCCGCAACGAGCGCAACCCUUGUCCUUAGUUGCCAGCAUUAAGUUGGGCACUCUAAGGAGACCGCCGGUGACAAACCGGAGGAAGGUGGGGAUGACGUCAAGUCAUCAUGGCCUUUAUGACCAGGGCUACACACGUGCUACAAUGGCAGAUACAGAGGGAAGCCAACUCGCGAGAGGGAGCCAAUCCCAGAAAAUCUGUCGUAGUCCGGAUCGGAGUCUGCAACUCGACUCCGUGAAGUCGGAAUCGCUAGUAAUCGCAGAUCAGCAUUGCUGCGGUGAAUACGUUCCC
rnacentral:rRNA from 1 species